rfam:Trichobilharzia regenti genome assembly, scaffold: TRE_scaffold0111277
AUCCAGAUGACUAGUCCCGAACAGGACAAAAUGCUCAUCCUGGAU